GAGAUGACGGUACCACUAGAGAAAGCUCCGGCUAACUUCGUGCCAGCAGCCGCGGUAAUACGAGGGGGAGCAAGCGUUAUUCGGAAUUACUGGGCGUAAAGGGCGUGUAGGCGGCAACUUAAGUCGUGUGUUAAAGACCGGUGCAUACCACCGGAGCGGCAUGCGAAACUGGGUUGCUAGAGUGUAAGAGAGAGGAGUGGAAUUCUUGGAGUUAAGGUCGGUAGAAUGCGUAGAUCUCAAGAGGAACACCGAUGGCGAAGGCAGCUCCUUGGCUUACAACUGACGCUGAGACGCGAAAGCGUGGGGAGCAAACAGGAUUAGAUACCCUGGUAG
rnacentral:rRNA from 1 species